rnacentral:lncRNA from 1 species
AACAGUCCAAACGACCCUGUAUAAAUCCACUCGGCGUACGAGCACGAGUGUAAAUGUAAUCUAAACUACCUGGAGUACUCGUCUCGAGGAUACUGCGACAGUACAAUUCUAUAACAGCUCCUAGAGCUAAAUCAGGCAGUUUAAGCAUAUGCCGAUCAUUAUCGCGUUUUCUCCUAAGUCAAGUCCAAGUCCAACAUGUAUAUUCAAGGUUUACUAAUCAUGUUCUCAAAUCGUAUUUAUCCAAGAUAUAAUCAACGAGAUAGAGCUACACAUGAUAUAUAAAACUACAAUUCAUACAUGUCGACAAAUGCUAUACUUAGGAAUAAACCGAUGUAAACCCACCUCGCACGCUAAUCCCUGGCAGCGAAACACCCUCCCAGCUGCAACACCACCUGCUGGGUCAAACACAUUGCUCCGAGUCCAAAAAUCGUCUAAGCUCGAGCUCUACACAACAACAUACACCGUUUCAGUCCAGGAAUCACAGCAGCGAGUUACAACAAGGAUUCGACCAAGCUAACCUUCACCAAAUCCAGCAAGUUAGGGCUUCGUGGAUUCUUCUCGAAGUUCCGAAUCCAACGAACUAAGUCUUGUCGUAAUCCGAUGCUCCUACGUCGCGUACGAGCUGAAAUACUAACAGUCGACGAAGAAAUCUGCAGCAGUGGCACCCGAGCUCAAAAUGAUGGAAUUGAUGUACUAGGAGGAAUGCCCACAGGUAAAAACACUUCAACAUGUAUCUAGAAUCAGCACGACGUCAAGGAUUGCGAAAAGCCGCACUCGCCCGACCGCCUCGCAGCAAAACAACGUCGAAAGUGGGCUCGAACGGCUCCGCGGCACGACGUCGGCGACGAAAACUAUACCCGAGCUUCUUCCUUACCUUCAACCGGAUGAGAGUGAAAGAGAAAUGGAGAAAUGCAGCUAGAAGACCCCUCUCUCUCUUUCUCUACACGAAGCUAUAUAGAGAGGGGAUGAAUGGUGAUAUAAACGAGGGAGGGAAUUACCAAUUUAGCCCUCUACCUACCCCCUUGUACCGGUACACGGGCUCCUGUACCGGUACAAGAGCCAACCCGAGAGCUGCUUAACCAGUGCGCGCUGGUUGUACCGGUACAGCGUGCUGGUUGUACCGGUACAGCAAGUAGAGAAAUCUGCUGUUUUGCAGAUUUCUUCGCUAUAAGCUGCCCUCGCGUCGUACAGAGUCCGUUUUGCAUCUAUUUGACGCCAACGCGACUCGGACUCGUCCCGACACUCUCAAGAGCUGCCGACAAGCCUCCACAACCGAACACCAGGGAUCUCACAUCCUCCCCCUCUACAAAAAGUUUCGUCCGCGAAACUGAAACGUCCUCUGCUCAGGCAUCAAACAAAUAGGGAUAGGCUUCCCUCAUCACCGUCUCAAGCUCCCAAGUCGCCUCCCGCUCCUCGUGAUGGCUCCACUGCACUUUUACAUACGGGAUGACCCGGUUGCGCAAUUCUUUCGUCUUUCGAGCAAGAAUCUGCAACGGUCGCUUCUCGUAUCUCAGAUCCUCGCCAAUCUCGAGUGGAGUGAAGUCAAUCACGUGAGAGGGGUGGAAAACGUAUCUCCUCAAUGCUGAGAUGUGGAAAACAUCGUGGAUGCCAGCAAGUCGCGGGGGUAGAGCUAUCCUGUAAGCAAUCGGUCCGAUAUGCUCCAAUACCUCGAAAGGGCCAACAAACCGUGGACUAAGCUUUCCACGUACUCCAAAUCGGCGUAUCCCUCUGGACGGCAAGACUUUGAGAAAAAUAUGAUCUCCGACCUGAAACUCCAAGUCUCGUCUCCUGGUAUCGGCGUAGCUCCUCUGUCGGCUCUGUGCUGUCAGAAGGUGUCGUCGGACGACUCUCACCUUUUCCUCAGCCUCAAGUAGAAUGUCCGGUCCAAGUGUCCUCCGCUCACCCACAUCGCUCCAAAACAGGGGGGAUCGACAUCUGCGUUCAUACAACGCCUCAAACGGAGCAANCAUGUCGACAAAUGCUAUACUUAGGAAUAAACCGAUUUAAACCCACCUCGCACGCUAAUCCCUGGCAGCGAAACACCCUCCCAGCUGCGACACCACCUGCUGGGUCAAACACACUGCUCCGAGUCCAGAAAUCGUCUAAGCUCGA